CGCGGGGUAUGCAAGUGGUCAAAGCGACUGGGCUCAUAACCCAGUGCCAUUCGGCUUCGCGGGUUCGAGCCCCGCCCCCGCAA
rnacentral:tRNA from 1 species